GAAAAAAAAAAAAAAAAGGUGUGAACCAUGGAGCACUGAUACAAUGAAAAAGAAUCUCUCAAUGUUAUUAAUGAAUACAUAGGUAGUGUAUUUAUACAUAAAAUACAGUAUGCAUCACUUUGAGCUCCAAUUUCCCACUGGAGCAUCACUUUUGGCAAAUAAAUAUAUAAUUUCGAUAUUCUCACGAAGGAGAGGCAAAUCAAUCUUGACCUUCAAAAAAAAAAAAACAAAUGUAUCCCACUCAAAAUUUAUGUCAAAAUCAGUCCUUCAAUCCAUUUUUUCCAACAUCAACCAUCCAAUCUUCACUAUGUUCAUAGACAAGCAGUUAACUGUGUUUGCCUCUAAUAUAUCCUUCUGUGCAUCGGGAAGCGUAAAAAAGGACCACUUGCCAAUGCAAAACUAAAGAAAAUGGAAAGAAGAAGUUGUCUUAAUAAUAAUAAGUUGUGUGUUUAAUUCACUCGUAAAUGAGUAUUAAUUAUUUUUUCUAAAAAUUGUAAAAGAAAUAGUAUACAUUAUUUUUUAACAUUAGAAUCUAACUCGGCAAUUUUCGUUGUACGAGAUUCCUGAGAAAUAGGAUCAAUUUGAUCAAACAAUUUAUUGAUAAAAGCAAUAAAACCAACUUUGCCAUAACCCUUUCCAAACAAGAAAGGUUAAAUGCAACAUGAUAUUAAGGCAAUAAGAGUAAUCAAAGUUCGUCAUGCGAAUCUAAUUGAUCAGAAAAUGAAGGAAAUUCGAUUUCAGAACCACAUCUUUCAUGUGGGAAAACUGGACAUUUAAUGAAAUUGGAUGCUGAGGUAUUGACACACAGGUAAACUUGGAAUAGCUGAUUAUUCCCUGAUGAAUCCACAUUGCAUUCUAUGGACGGAGCAUACCCGAUGCCUUCUUCAAUUUUAUAUCAUCAAGAAACUUUCCAAUGGCAAUAAAUUUAUCACAGAGAAAACGAAAAGAGUGAGUAUAUUCAGUCACACUACGAGAGCCAUGCUGGAGCAAUUGAAGUUUGUCUAGCUAAAUCUCACGUGUCUUGGAGCUGUGAGAAUAUGACGUUUCGAGGGUCAACCAAGCAUAACUGGAAAUAGCACAAUUGACAACCUCGGCCAUACAGUCCUCGGACAUGGGAAGCAUAAAUGAGGCUAAGCAGCAUACGAUCUUGAGUACGCCAUUUCUUGUAGGCCUGAUUUGGAACCUAGCCAAUACCUUCGAUAAUAACAGGGGAAGGUGUAAUGGAUGAUCCGUCUAAAAAGCCCACGAGAUCUUGGCUUUCAAGAAGGGAAACAAACUGAUUGCGCCACAAAAGAAAAUUGGACGUAGUGAGUUUGAUGGUCACUAUAUGGAUCGUCGUAUUGAGUGGAAGCAUACUAGAACUAGAGCUAGAAUCAGCCAUGGAAAGAAAAAGGUGUGAACCAUGGAGCACUGAUACAAUGAAAAGGAAUCUCUCAAUGUUAUUAAUGAAUACAUUGGUAGUGUAUCUAUACAUAAAGUACAGUAUGUGAUAAAUAUUAAAGAUAAAUAUAAACUAUUUACAUGAUAAAUACAAAAUAAGUAAGAACCUAAUCUAGUUUGUAUUAUGAAUAAAAAUAGAAUAAACUAAACUGAAUAGGAGUCUGUAGUUGGAGGCCAUAGAGAUUGGUAUGCUAAGAUUAAGGUAAUACUUUCCGAUAUUCAUCAAUGGAUUUUCCUCCAAUAGAUUCUCCUCCAAUACCCAUUCAUGAAGAUUUAGUAUUUCAGCAAAUGUAACAACAAGGUUUGGUCUUAUUGCUGAAAGGAGGAUUGGUCAACUUAGGUAUCAAGUUGCUACUACUGUAGCUAAAGCUGAUUAGGGUGCUUGGAGUAAUGUCAAAAGGAUGCGG
rnacentral:lncRNA from 1 species